rnacentral:lncRNA from 1 species
GAUUUCAGGACCCUAAAAAAUACUCUAAAAGUUUCAGCAAUGCUGUUUUCUUAGCAUUUGGAUCUAAAAUUCUGAUCUCAAAAAGAAAGAAUUUAGAACAAGUUUUCUCUUUGGACGUUUUGGUUUUCAAAAAGUUCAAGCAUGGUUUAAGUUUAGAGUGGCCUUCCUGCUGUGUUUCUGUUGUUGAUUGCACCUGUUGUUUCCUGUUCUCUGUCCAUUUCAGCUUACUAUUUCAUUUUUUUUCCUUUGUAUCCAGGUAAAUCUUAAGCCUUUGAAUGCUGAAUGAAAUAUAAGCAUGUGUUGAAAGAUGUGUUGCUGCUGUUGGAUUUUAAUUUAGCUUCUUUUGAUGUCUUCUUCAAGUCAUAUUUGCUUUUGUUCUUUAGUUUCAUCCCUUCUAGCUUCUACCUCAAUACAUUAAAGCUGCUGUAUUGUUCCUUGAAUUAGCUAGGAUAUUUAGUAUUGAAGGUGUUGAAUAGCUUCUCUUUCAUGUGUUUGAAUUUCAAUUUAGAUAGUUUAGCUUAAAAAAUAUUAAAUUUCAACCUUCUCCUGCAUGUGCUUUUCUUAGGUUAUUUAGCUAUUCAGCUCUUUCAGCUUUUGUACAAAGUGUUUUGGAUCUAUUUUGAUGAUCAGUAGUUUAGUGGUGAAUUUGACAUGUAAAUGUUCAAAUUAAAUAAUAUUUAAAUCGACUCUUCAUGUACUGAUUCAGGACUUCAUGUUUAGUGCGGCUCCAAUAGUUUAGUUGGCUAUAUCUUAAAUGUUGACUAGUGUAUUAUGCAUGUUAAAAAUGCAGUGUUUGGCUGUUAAGUACAUUCAGUUUUAAUUAUUACUAAUUCCAGCAUUUUAAAGUGACUGUUUAUCUCGGUUUAAAAAUAAUUUAUGAAUAGUUUAAGAUUCAAUCUUGUUUUUGUUAUUACUAAAUACAUGAUAAUGAGUUAAGGCCCAACAUGUUAGGCAUUUCGUUUAGGAUUUGUGCAAAUAUUGGUAUACAUGAACUGGCAUGAUUUAAGCCUUAGCAGGCUUUGGCGUUUGAAGUUUUUUUUUUUGUGAUUGGGCCUGGCGAUGCCCCAAACAAGGCUGUCAAGCCAAAAGGAGGCUUCCUUUGUUUCUAUCCUUCUCUGUCUUCACGUUUGGGCUCAGUUUUGAGCCCAGUUGGCAUCAACUUUUAUUUUUCUUUUAUUAACUGCUCUUAAUAAUAUAAUGGGCCUGCUAUCGGCUCAGUUCCUUUCAAAUAACUAAAGACCUCUUUUAUAUUGCCAUACCUAUAAUUAAUAGCCUUAUAUUGAAUUGCAAGAUAGUUUUAAAUAUGAACCCCAUAGUUUUCUUUAAGUGAAAUACAAGUUUUUUAAAAUAAAUCGAGGUGUGUCAUUCAUAAUUGAAUCACCUAAUCUAUGACCCUCACAUUAAUAUUAUAACUUAGGUAUUAAACAUUCUUUAACAUUCGUAGCUUGCUUUAGGCGAGAUUUAGUCUAUUAUUGUGAUUAUGUAUACGUUCGCGUAACAUAGUUAUGAUUUUUUCUAAAAGUAAAUCGAGGUAUGCGUUCGCGAAACUUCGUCCAAACUUUCGUAAUAUUAAUAAAGCGUUAUUAAUAGUGGGCACGUACGCGUGACAUGAUUCUUGACGCGCCAAACAGAAUGAGUAUACGUACGCGUGACUCAUUUCUGGUUAUUUUCUUAAUUAAAAGCGGUAAAAAGUAAUAUACACAUAGGUUCUAAAAAUACGUAAUUAAACAAAUUUAAGCCACGUAUAAAUUUCUAAGCGACCUGCUAGAACCACGGAACCCGAGAAUGCCUGACACGUUCUCCCGGGUCAACAGAAUUCCUUAUCUAGAAUUUCUGGUUCGCAGACUUUUAAAUAAAGUCGAAAAUUUCCUCGAUUUGGGAUUUAAAAAUAAAUCGGUGACUUGGGACACCAAAUAUAAAUUAUUCCAAGUGGCGACUCUAAAAUUAAAUAAAUAAUCCCAUUUCGAUUAAUGUCACUUUAAUUGAAAAAACUCCCUUAUAUUACCCUCGGGUGGUAAAAAGGAGGUGUGACAGACACAGCAUCACAAACCUCAAGGGAAGGUGGACAAACAGACAUAGAUUCAAGGCCUGAUGUCAUCCAAGAGCCAGAAGAAAAUGAAAAUAUCAAAACAACAAUAGAAGAACUCGAGGGUAUCACACUUUCUGAGUAGUGGCCAGAUAGAAAAGUUUAUACCGAAAUGAAGCUAAGCCCAGAAAUGAAAGGUAAACUUGUCAAAUUUUUACAAGCUAACACAUAUUGCUUUGCUUGGUCGCAUUUAGAGGUAUCUCACCGGAGGUGAUGACCCACAAGCCAAAUGAAGAUCCAUCUUAUCCACCUGUCAAACAGAAGAAAAGAAAGCAAGGAUCCUUAAAAAAUCAGGUGAUCCAGGAUAAAGGACAAAAACUUUUAAAAAUUGGGUCCAUAUGAGCGGUAAAAUAUCCUAAAUGGCUAGAUAAUAUUGUAGUAGUACCAAAAAAGAAUGAAAAAUGGCAAGUUUGUGUAGAUUAUAUUGACUUAAAUAAAGCUUGUCCUAAAGACUCAUUUCCUUUACUGCAUAGACACAAAUCUUCCAACUCUUGGAGUGUACCCCCUUUUUAGCCAUUUUCAAAAGGGCACACUCUCUCCUGGUAGGGCUUUUUAGUGAAGGAAAAUUGAUUGUAUUUCUACUCUUGUCCUUUGAGAAGCCAUUGUUCAUGUGUCAUUAUUGGUUGCUCCCCUUCACUACUCUCUGCACACUAAAAUCAAGGAUUAGAUUUAGGAACCCAAACGAGUUUGGGUCCCUUUUUAAGAGAAAAGGGAUGAAUGAGUGCUCUCUUAGUCCAAGCAAGCGAAAUGCAUUUUCUAUUUGAGGGUUUCCUAUUUAAAGGACCAGGUCCUCUUGCAGUAGUUGCUCUCUCAGCAAAGACUUUAUUUUUAUGAUGAGACUGAACCUUGGCCAAGAAAUUUUCCUUGAGGUGUUGCUGUAGCCAAAAGACACAAGAGUAAUUAUGUUGCUGUGAUUGAGCUUGUGUAGAGUGGAGAUAUAAGUUGGUUGAAAGCUAUUGAAGACAAUGCUGAACUAUGAGACAAAAGACUGGAGCAUUGUAAGUUGUCUGUCUCUAAACAAACUGGAUUUGAAGAACCUGGUUCGUGGUCUGAUCAAGUUGAGCAACAAGUAACAUGAAGUGUGAAAUGCCUGUGCAAAAGGAAAGCAUGUCAUAUGUUCAUUCAAGCCCAAAAGGGGGAGAUAGCACUUCAGAACCAAGGAUGAGAUCUUUCGAGAAACUGUGGCUUUUUUCAAGAAGAUCCAGGUACAGAUAGAAACAAAUGCGGCUUGCAUUGGAUCAAAUCAUGGAACAAGUUUGGAUAAUGCCAUAAGUGGAUGAAUUCUAUAUUCAAAGAAGAAUUACUCAACCACUUAGCUCAAAAAACACCACAUCAGAUGGAGUUGUUGAAAAGAAGAAAAUGACUCUUGAAAAUUGGGCACGGUCAAUAUUAAUUGACAAGGGUUUCCUACACAAUGCUUCUAACUAAGCUAAGUAGGAGUUAAAAGUGAAGAACAAAAUCAUAAAGACUCAGCAAUCCUAAGGACUUAAGAUAACUUCAAUCUUUGGAUCUGAUCCUUGAGGUUGCAGUAGCUUUGUUCUUGAGAGAUAUGGUGGCUAGCACUUGAGAGAGAAUUUUCUUUUCAUUUGCAAGUGUUCAAGUAAUUGUUUUACCUUCCUUGAUGUUAAUAAUAAAUGUGUGACAUCACUUAUAAUGAUGUAAGCAAGGUAGGUAAAAAGAUUUCCACAGAAAUUUGACUGCUGCACUGUUCCUAUACUGUAGCGUGUGCAGCCAGCAACUUUCCAACUGGAGAGUUGACUUCGUACAAUCACCUCAGGAACUGGUAGGAACCUGUUCCCUUAGCUGUUCCUUCGACUCUGAAGAGUUGAGCCAUAUCCCAAACGGGAUCCCAACCUUAAACCUUGUGAUCUUAAGGUCUUGAGAAUGUUUAAAGCUGUAGAGUUGAAUAUUUGAUAACUAGGGGAACUGAUCCAUAUCUGUUCCCUUAUCUGAUUUCUUUGAGAAUUAAACCAGACAUCUAACUGGUUACUUUAAACUCAAGAGAACUAAUUUUAUCAAGUUCCUUAUCUGGUUCUCUCAUGAAGUUUGUCAAAUCAUCAAAACAAAAGACGCAUAACUUAUCAUAGAUCAACUCAUUGAUUCUAUUGCAAGACAUGAAUUGUUGAGUUCUUUAGAUGCCUAUUUAGGAUAUAAUUAGAUAAAGAUGGAUACUUUAGAAGAGGAAAAAAUAUCCUUUAUCAUAGAUAGGGGGCUUACUGUUAUAAAGUCAUGCCUUUCAAAUUAAAGAAUGUUGGAGCCACGUACCAAAGAUUGGUAAUAAAAAUGUUCCAAGAACACCUGGGAAAAACUAUGGAAGUCUACAUUGAUGACAUGAUGGUCAAGUCAGCACAGGCGGGGGAUCAUAUCCAAUAUUUGUCAAAUACUUUUCAGAUUCUCCGCACGUUCAAUAUGAAGUUAAAUCCCAAAAAAUGUGCCUUUGGCUUGGCUUAAGGUAAGUUUUUAGGUUUACUUGUUUCCAGCUGAGGUAUUGAAGUAAACCCUUCAUAGAUCAAAUCCAUUGAAGAAAUACUAGACAUACUCACGAGCAAAAAAAAGGAGCGAGGCUGAUAGGUAGGAUAACAACUUUGGGAAGGUUUAUUUCUAUGUAUUCGGAGAAAAGUUUUAAGUUCUUUUUAGUGUUGAAAAAGCAAAAACAAUUCGAGUGGACUGAUGAAUGUCAACAAGCACUCAAAUACUUGUCAAACCCACUGUUACUGGCUAAACCAAAGGAUGGAGAAAGGCUACUCAUCUAUCUCGUUGUAUCAUAAAUGGUGGUAAGUGCAGUAUUAGUACGUGAAGACAAAGGUAAACAAACUCCAAUCUAUUAUGUUAGAAAAUCUUUAUUGGAUGCUGAAACUCAAUAUCCGCACUUAUAAAAACUUUCUUUAGCAAUAAUUAUGGCAUCUAGAAAGUUGAGGCCUCAUUUUCAAUGUCACCCUAUCUCUGUAGUAACUACUUACCCCUUAAGAAAUAUAUUGCAUAGGCAAGAACUGCCAGGUAGGUUAGCCAAAUGGUCUAUAGAACUCAGUGAAUAUGAUGUCGUGUACCAACCUAGAACUGCGAUAAAAUCACAGGUUUUAGUAGAUUUUGUGGCAGACUUCAGCCUAGGGAUAGUUCCUGAAGCAGAAAAGGAACUACAAGUAUUCAUCGCAUCUAAUCCGGGUACUUGGACCCUAUUUACUGAUGGCGCCUCGAAUGUUAAAGGAGCGGGUUUAGGCAUUAUUCUAAACCCACCUUCAGGAGAAACCAUAAUGCAAGCAAUAAAGUAGCAUCCCAUUACUAACAAUGAAGUAGAAUAUAAAAUUGUAAUUGCAGGUCUGGAAUUGGUACGAGAGCUCAGAAUAGAGCAGAUUAUAAUCAAAAGUGACUCGCAGCUUGUAGUUAAUCAGAUGAAGGGGACUUAUAUAGCUAGAGAGGCACGGAUACAACAAUACUUGGAAAAAACACGAGAAUUAAUCAAACAAUUCCAAUUAUGGAAAAUCGUGCAAAUACCCAAGGAGGAAAAUGCGGAAGCAGACGUGUUGGUUAAUCUCGCAUCUGUUGCAGAAGUAACGAAUGAAGAAAAUGCUAGAAUAAUAUAUUUGUUUCAUUCGGCACUCGAUCAGGAUAAAUAUGAGGGAAAUUUCAAUAAUUUAACUUGAGAUUGGAGAAAGGAGUUCGUUAAUUUCCUACAGUACGUGAUUUUACCUGAAAACAAGAAAAAGGCUCAAUCACUUCGACAAAAAGUUGCCCGUUAUUGUUUGGUUCGUGGAAAUUUGUAUCGAAAGAUGUUUAGAGGGCAUUUAGCAAGAUGUCUCAGACCUUCUCAAAUAGAAUAUGUGAUGAUAGAAGUACAUGAGGGACACUGUGGAAAUCAUGCAGGAGGAAGAUCAUUGGUAAGAACUUUAAUUAGAGCAGGAUAUUAUUGGCCAAAAAUGGAAGAAGAUGCAGAAUGUUUUAUGGCCAAAUGUGACAAAUGCCAAUGAUAUGGCAACAACAUGCAUUGCCCAGCGGAGCUAUUGCAUCCGGUUAUUUCACUAUGGCCUUUUAUGAAAUGGGGGAUAGAUAUCGUGGGUCUACUACCACAAGCCAAAGGAAAAGUAUGAUUUUUAUUAGUAUUAACAGAUUAUUUUACCAAGUGGGUAGAAAUAGGUGCCUUCAAACAGGUGCGGGAAAAAGAAACUAGGGACUUUAUUUGGCGAAACACCUAUGGCCCACCUAUGGCCUGCAAUUCAUAGGUGCGAAAAUCACAUAAUUCUUUAAGAGUUGGCAGAUUAAAAGGAUAACUUCAACACCUUACCAUCCUAUGGCUAAUGGAAAAUCCGAAUCGACAAACAAAAUUAAUAUUAAUAACUUCAAGAAAAUAUUAGAGGAGUCAAAAGGUCAGUGGCCAGAAGUGUUACCAGGAGUCCUAUGGGCUUACCGAACGACAACAAAAACAGGUACGUGAGAGACUCCAUUUUGACUUGUGUAUGGUGAUGAAGCCUUAAUCCCAAUUGAAAUAGGCAAACCAAGUACAAGAUAUACCCAAGCAACUGAAGAAUCAAAUGAGGAAGAGAUGCGAAUAAAUCUAGAUUUGCUUGUAGAAAGAAGAGAAGCGGCUCUAAAAAGGAUGGCAGCACAGAAACAAAUUAUUGAGCGAUACUACAAUCGAAAAACUCAUCUUAGAUACUUCAAGAUUGGGGACUUCGUGCUCAAAAAGGUUUUUCAAUCGACAAAAGCAGCCAAUGUAGGAAAGUUUAGUCCAAAUUGGGAAGGACCCUAUAUGAUUCGAGGCAUUGUUGGAAAGGGUGCUUAUGAGUCGGAAACCAUGGAGGGAAAAGUACUACCUUCGAAUUGGAAUGAUAUUCAUUUGAAGAAAUAUUAGGAAAUACCCACGAUCAGGUAUCGCUUAAUUAUGAUUUUAUUUUGUUCUGUUAAAUUAUACUAAUAAUUUUAGAUGAUAGGCAAAAAUCUAGCCCACACCAAAUGAUGAUAUUAGACCUGAAAGAUAUGCGGUAUACAAAAUUAUUCUCGGUUCUAGUUACAACCUUUUUGAUGGAGAUAAAAAGGGUUAAGCAAUCAUCAUCUAAAAAUAUACCUCCGAGUCCCAUAUGUAUUUUCUUUUUCAGGAAAUGGACCAAAUAGAAGGAAUAAUCAAGUGCUCGAGAUCAUACUUCAAAGCUCUAACACUUGGGGGACUAUAGAUAUGAAGGCAAAGAAGACUGAAAGUCAGAGAAGACUAAAAGUCAGAAUUCAAGCGUGGAUCAACCCAAAAAUCAAAAGUCAAGAGCCAAAAAACAAGCCUGAUUCAAAAACCUUUGUAAUAAGGUUUGAUAAAGUAUAAACUCGUCGACAUAAAUUACAAGAUCCUGCGAGUACUUAGGUUAAGGGUAAUGAUUAGUCAUGGGUUGCAAGAUACACCCUAGAAAAUUUUGAAAUUUUUUAAGAAAAAUAGUUAUGAAAGAGUUGUAGAUGUCAUACAAAAAGUUGAUUGAAUACUUGUAAAGUGUUAUGUAAUUUAAAAGUUCAAAACAUGAAACUUC